CCCAUCCUUCGCGGAUCACUGCGAUGGACCGACGUUUUACGAUAGGGAGCCUUAGAUUAUUGCUCGUACAGAUAUCCUUCUUUGUUAAGGAAACUGGAAAAGCAUUUGCGGGCACCCACCUGAUCUAGGUGGGUUCAUCCUUAACCGUCGAGGGGUGGGC
rnacentral:other from 1 species